GCCGAAUCAUAAAACCAUACAAACAUCUAUUCAUAUAUAAACAAACCAUUUGACUUACUCAGUAGAGGCGAUCGAACAGUGACACACCACUAAAAAGUACCGCAAGGGAACCACUCAAGCAACAAACAGCAAAGAUUAACCCUUGUACCUUUCGCAUCAUGGUUUAGCAAGUAAACAAAGGCAAGAUGAAUCAUAGUCCACACCCCGAAACCAGAUGAGCUACCUCAAAGCAGCCUAAAGGGCAAACCCUUCUCUGUGGCAAAAGAGUGGGAAGACUUCCAGGUAGAAGUGAAACGCCUAUCGAAUCUGGAGAUAGCUGGCUACCUAAAAAAGAAUUUAAGUUCUACUUUAGACCAAAAUUAACACCAAUAUUAACCUAAAGAUACUCAAUAGAGGUACAGCUCUAUUGAAACAGGAUACAACCUGAAUUUGAGAGGAAGCCAUUUUCCCCCACCCCGUAGGCCUUAAAGCAGCCACCUAACAAAAUAUCGUUAAAGAAUUAUAUAAACUAAUUCAAGAAUCAAACAAAACCUCCAAACCCAUUAAAGGUAAACCUACGACUGUAGGAAAUAUCCUGCUAAAACUAAUAAUAAGAUAACCUCUCUACACGCACCCAUCCGCUAGAAACAGAAAAUCUACUAGCUAUCAACAGACCUAACCAGGGUAAACACCAACCCCAUACACGCCACUCCACACACUGUGACCCCAACACAGGUGCGUCAAAAAGAAAGAUUUAACACUAUAAAAGGAACUCGGCAACCAAAGACCCCAACUGUUUAACAAAAACAUAACCUUUAGCAUAAAACCAGUAUUAAAGGCAACGCCUGCCCAGUGAACAAUUAAACGGCCGCGGUACCCUAACCGUGCAAAGGUAGCAUAAUCAUUUGUCUAUUAAUUGUAGACCUGUAUGAAAGGCAAAAUGAGGGUCUAACUGUCUCUUAUAGUAGCUCAAUUAAACUGAUCUCCCAGUACAAAAGCUGGAAUACCACCAUAAGACCAGAAGACCCUGUGAAGCUUAAACUAAACUAUUAAACCCAAUAAUAGCUACUUUCGGUUGGGGCGACCUUGGAAAAAAAAAGAACUUCCAAAUAACAAUAAUAUAAUCCCACAUAGGCCAACAAGCCUACCACGACCCAGCAAAGCUGAUAAUUGAGCCAAGUUACUCCAGGGAUAACAGCGCUAUCUUCUUCAAGAGCCCAUAUCAAAAAGAAGGUUUACGACCUCGAUGUUGGAUCAGGACAUCCUAAUGGUGCAGCCGCUAUUAAAGGUUCGUUUGUUCAACGAUUAAUAGUCCUACGUGAUCUGAGUUCAGACCGGAGCAAUCCAGGUCGGUUUCUAUCUAUGAUACGCUCCACCCAGUACGAAAGGACAGGUUGAGCAGAGCCAAUACCACACGCACGCUCUAAUCAAACAACCAUAUACCACACCCAGACCAAGAUAAGGUCAAUUAAGGUAAUCACCCUUAAUAU
rnacentral:rRNA from 1 species